UGAGGAAUAUUGGGCAAUGCCCGCAAGGGUGACCCAGCAACGCCGCGUGGAGGAUGAAUGUCGUAAGAUUGUAAACUCCUGUUAGAGGGGAAGAAUAGUACCGGUUGGACCGGUAUAUGACUGUACCCUCAGAGAAAGCCCCGGCUAACUACGUGCCAGCAGCCGCGGUAAUACGUAGGGGGCAAGCGUUGUCCGGAUUUACUGGGUGUAAAGGGCGCGCAGGCGGGAUAAAAAGUCAGUGGUGAAAUCCUACAGCUUAACUGUAGAACUGCCCUUGAUACUUUUAUUCUUGAGUUCGGGAGAGAGAGACGGAAUUCCAGGUGUAGUGGUUAAAUACGUAGAUAUCUGGAAGAACACCAGUUGCGAAGGCGGUCUCUUGGUCCGACACUGACGCUGAGGCGCGAAAGC
rnacentral:rRNA from 1 species